AACGCGAAGAACCUUACCUACCCUUGACAUCCUCGGAAUCUUCUAGAAAUAGAGGAGUGCCUUCGGGAGCCGAGUGACAGGUGCUGCAUGGCUGUCGUCAGCUCGUGUCGUGAGAUGUUGGGUUAAGUCCCGUAACGAGCGCAACCCUCGUUCUUAAUUGCCAGCACGUAAUGGUGGGAACUUUAAGGAGACUGCCGGUGAUAAACCGGAGGAAGGUGGGGACGAUGUCAAGUCAUCAUGGCCCUUAUGGGUAGGGCUACACACGUGCUACAAUGGGCGGUACAAAGGGUUGCCAAACCGUGAGGUGGAGCUUAAUCCCAAAAAACCGCUCGUAGUCCGGAUCGGAGUCUGCAACUCGACUCCGUGAAGUUGGAAUCGCUAGUAAUCGCGGAUCAGAAUGCCGCGGUGAAUACGUUCUCGGGCCUUGUACACACCGCGCAUA
rnacentral:rRNA from 1 species